rnacentral:rRNA from 1 species
UACGUAGGGUGCAAGCGUUAAUCGGAAUUACUGGGCGUAAAGCGUGCGCAGGCGGUUGUGCAAGACAGAUGUGAAAUCCCCGGGCUCAACCUGGGAAUUGCAUUUGUGACUGCACGGCUAGAGUGUGUCAGAGGGGGGUAGAAUUCCACGUGUAGCAGUGAAAUGUGUAGAGAUGUGGAGGAAUACCGAUGGCGAAGGCAGCCCCCUGGGAUAACACUGACGCUCAUGCACGAAAGCGUGGGGAGCAAACAGG